GUUAUAGUUGAAUGGUGGAAAUUGUGUAAAAUAUAGAAAAAAUAUGACAUAAAAUUUAGCAUAUAUAAUUGAUACAUUUUAGAUGUCUAUCAAAUAAGAAUAUUAUGUGGGUUUUAUUUAAAACCACUCUUCAAAAUUGGGUGUAUAUGAAAAUUUCCCUUACAAAUAACCUAAUGGGGGAGUGUGUUUUCACAACAUGUUAAUAAACUGAACCAUCAAUUGCAAUUGGAAACUGUUUCGAAGUAACGUACAUUAUUCACAAAUCACAACAUCAGUGUUAGUAUGAAAAAUAAUAAAUGAGUCGGUCGAUCGACAACCAUUCUAUGCAGCAGUGCGACUUAAAAGUUAUAUGUGCUUGAGUGCUUCGCAAAAUAUUAUUAGCAACUUAUCCCGCUCUUGUACAACUUGACCAUAGCGACUAGCUGAUCGAUCACUUUCAUCUCCAGUUUCAUGCUCGAAGCCUUUUGGGACUCAACCCCCACAUCACGUUGAUCCCGAAGGCAAAGAUGGAUAAGGAAGCAGGGAUGAGAAACCGAAACUGCACUUGAGAUACAUGAUACAUGCGACACAACAUGUAGUCUUCAUGGUACGAGCUGAGGGAAAUGAAUGAACUUAAGAACAAGGAAGCAUAUCUGGCUUCAGAUUAUAUUGUACUACACAUGUAUAGUACAACUUGAAGUAUAAACUUGGUAUGGCUUUAAAAGUUUCAAACUUUAUAGGUUCAGAUGUUUGAAUUAUUGAUUUUAACGCUUUUGAUCUAUCAUAUGACUUAUGAUAUAGAAAAAUACUAUUCAAGUUUAUCCAGAGUUAUAUAUAUGUUACAACUUAGAAAUGUCAAUGGUGAAGUAAGGAUUUCAACCACCCAACCUUUUGUAGAUGAAGGUUUUAGAGGGGGGAGGUGAAUAGGCCCUUAACAACUUUUUUUCCAUAUAAAUUUGUUCUUAGAGAUAACAAGGGUUAUAGUUAUUGUCAUGACCCACCCCGAAUUUCACCCUGAAACCCGAAGUAAAUCCUACGGGGACCACCUCCAAGGAAAGUUUACCGAAAAAUUCAGCAUAACCCCCCUUGAAAAUGGACAACCCUUCCUAAUAAUACCUGCAUACACUUCAAAAGAAUCCAUUUAUAAUCCUCUACUCCUGGAGCCUUCGUGCUCCCCAAAUCACAACACCACCCAAAAUUUACUAAUCUAAACAAAUCUCCUAUCCAACCAUUUAUAGGUUCAGAGCAACUCUAACAAGAAUAAAGGAAACAAAAUAAAUUAACAAGCGGAAGCUAUAUGAUGACUAUGCCUCAUCUCCAGGUACGCCCGACCUCAACUAAGCUAACCUGCAAGCUGGGUAUUUUUAAAACGAAGGGCUCAGGGGAAAACAUUUGAAACACGUUAGAGUGAGUGGACAAAAUCAUAAAUUUAAUGAAAAUAUUUAUGCUUUCCCAAUUACAUUUCCAUAGAAAAUAUGCUGCAUACGACAGCUCAAAAACGCUCAACACAAAAACUGGCAAUUUCAUGACUAGCUCCGGCCAGUCUCCAAAGCACAAUAAAAUACAGUCUCUCAGGCUAAAAUAAAAUAUGUAUGUAUUACACUCGUCAUAUCCCUUGUAUGAAUUUUCUUGAAACAACAAAGACAAAUAGAAAAUUCACACAAGGCUACGACGUUUGCGUCUAACGCUCACGUCGCACCAUAAUGGCAUUUUACCUCAUUAUGGUGGAAAAGACAGUGUAUAAAUAUAUACGCGCAUAUCCCCUAUAUAAAUUAUUAUAUUUAUAUAGGGCUACGACGAUUGCGUCUAACGCUCACGUCGCACCAUAAUGGAAUUUUUACCUCAGUAUGGUGGAAAAGCACAUAUAGCUAGCUAGCAUUCCUUCAUAUACAUAUUAUUCUCAUAAUCAUCCAACUAUGGAUAUAUAUAUAUAUAUAUACAUACUCACCGAAAAUCUCAUUUUCAAUAACUCUUCAAAAAUAAUAAAAAUUGUCAAUUGCAAAAGAAGUAAUAAAUAUAUGGCUACACCAAAAAUCUCAUUUCCGAUAACUUUCCAAAUAGCGAAAUUAACAAAAUAAAAUAAGAGCAUUUACUUCCAAAAAUAACUUCGCGAAAAUAAACAAUUCCACAAAUUGAUAUUCAAUAAAAUCAUUCAUUUAAAAUGAAAUCACCGCAUGCUUAUAAUUUAAAACGAACGUCCACUCACAACUCUAGGCAUAAGCCCGACGAAAUCCAAAUCGCCACUCCAAUGAGGUUUCCUCGAACCCUGGCACAAAUAUAUAAUUAAAUUCUCAACUAAAAUCCAAUAUUUAAACAAAAUAGGCAAAAUUAAAUAUGAGCCGCAACCACGCUUAUCCUUGCCCAACUUCGCAUUUCCUAAAACGAAACGAUCCAACUUUAAUACCAUAAUCGGCAGCCAUAAUUACAACUUCCCCCAGAAAAUGACUUAAAUCCUACGGCCGGAUUCUACCUUAUUUAUCGCCAAAAUUACCAAACUUCGGAAAUUCACAAACCUAUCCAAAACUCAUCCAAAAAUUCCAAAGUUCACAUCAUUAAACUCCCCUUAAUAUUCCACACUUAAAACUAUACAAAAUUCCCAACCAGCGGCCGCGCCGGAGGCGGCUCCGCGGGCAGCGGCGGCCGGAGGCCGAUUCCGGCGACCUCCAAUGCCCACCAAAUUUUAACAGCAUCUUCCUCUCAACUCCCUCUACAACUUUCCUAACUAGCAUAAACACAAAAUCCAAGCCUAGCUAGGGCAAUCGAACACAAACACCUAAAGAGCCCUAGGAUUUCAACUUUAAAUUUCUCCUUACCUAGCUGAAGAGGGAGUGAGCCUUUUGGAAGGAUUGAUGCACGGGAGGAGAGCUUCAAAACCAUAUAAGGCUUGCCCGGAUUAGUGGCCGGAGGAGGAAGUUCCGACGACCGGAAGUUCUGGGCAGUCAAACCUUUCGGGCGGCACCGCUCUCUCACGGUGGAGCUAGGGCUCCUCUCACCGGUCCAGGGAGGUUGCUGGGUUGGAGGUCGACCGAACGGGGCCGGUGCGGCGGCGGUUGGUGGCCGGACGACGGCGGAUGAGCAGCCGGAAGUUUCAGCUGCGGGAAAGCUCGAGGAUGAGGCCGGGAGGGAGAGAUGAAGAGAGAGGGAAAAGAAAUGGGUGUUUGGGCCUCACACCCACCCGGUCCAACACCAUAUAACAACCCACUCCAAAAUAAAACACCCCGAAAAAAAAUAAUACCCGAAUAAAAAUUACCUUUUACUAGCUAAAAUUUACCAUUUUUACCGUCGUCAUAUUUUCUUCCUACGAAUAAUCCUCCGCACAUAACCGUCCCCGAAACCCGUCUAGGGACCAAUUAAAACUAUAACCUCAAUGACGGAGACGGUAAAAUUCUUAUUAUAACCAAGCUAGUAAAUAAGGUAAAAAUUUACGGGUCGGGAUGUGACAAUUCUCCCCUCCUUAUAAAAAUUUCGUCCUCGAAAUUUACAUACCUGACAUUCGAAGAGAUAAGGAUACUGCUGCCUCAUUUGCUUCUCUGAUUCCCAAGUAGUUUCCUCUACUUGACGACUUCUCCAUAGAACUUUAACAAGAGGAAAAUGAUUUGCUUCUAAGCACUUGCUCCUUUGGGUCAAGAAUCUGAACCGGCUCCUUAUCAUAGGUCAAAACUUUUUCCAAUUAAUCGGCUGCUCUUGCAACACAUGAGAGAAAUCGGAAAUAAACUUGCGAAGCAUGGAUACAUGAAACACAUUAUGUAUCUUGGAUAACUCUGGAGGCAAAACUAAUCGAUACGCAAGAGAGCCAACUUGAUCUUAAAACCCAUAAGGACCAAUAAAUCUCGGACCAAGCUUUUCACAUCACCAAAACGUAUCACCCCUUUCCAAGGAGACAAUUUCGAAAAACACCCCAAAUACUCACUUGAAACUCAUGGUCCUUCCUGCGGACAUCUUUAUAACUCUUCUGGCUACUAUGACUUGCUUUGAGUGUAUCUCGGACUCCUUUAACCUUUUUAUUUGAAUCUUGUAUUAUUUUAGAUCUUAUCAAAGACUCUAAAUCCUUCGUUGAACUACCACUAACGUUUACACGUAAGUGGGUUCAGUGAUACCUGCUCUAGGGUACGAGUACCCGUAGGUAUGCACACUCUUUCCUGAGCAAUGGAAAUAGCUAACUCAAAUAAAGCGCAUAAAUUGCUAUCACCAUCAGGCUAAAAUCUCCUAACGUCACGCAACAACCUCGUCAUUACGCUGCUCACAGCUCGACAAUGAAGCCCACUUGCUAGGAAACUAAAGUUCACACGUUCCCACAUGCUCAUAGGGGUCAAAAUUAAGACCCGUUAAUUGAACAGAUUUUUUAAGGAUGCACACACUGCAGAACUGCAAUAAUCACUUCUAAUGCCGAGACAUUUCGUAGAGUCUUUCGCGGAGUCAAAGCUCUCGCAAGUCCACAAGACAACCUUGCUCUCCACCAACAUAUGAUAACCUCGAUUCUCGAAAUAACAUUAUGAAAAGAUCAAAACCACGCCACUUGGGUCUCUCCACCAAAACUAUUACAUUACCUUUUUGAACACCACAAACUAGCAGCUUAUGAGAAUUUCAACUCUCUUAUGAUUCUGCUAUCUCCACUACUACACUUUGUGGCUCACCAACCAACGAAAACCAUAUAAUCAAGAAAAGCAAAAAUUCAUGGCUAAACUCAGCUCAAAUUCCAGAAGAAAUAACUGAAAACACACGAAAGGCACGUCCUCUAACUUCGAGCUCAAAAGCUCCACAAAUCAGCGACGUCCACUAGAACCCGCUUCGAAAACGCACUAGAAACCAACAUUUAAAUAGUGAUUUCAACUAAUCACUCUGACACAAACGGAGGAACACAACCAAAAAGCAAAGACCUCCCAAAAUCAAACUUGGAUCAAUAAGUGGUCCCACCAUAAUACGAUCUCGAGAAAAGAUAUCGAUCGACUUACCAAUAUCUCUACUAACCACAACACGCAACUCUUAAUAAACCUUGACUCGAAAAGCUUCUUGAGUCAACAGGGGAAAACCCUUUUCCAUAAUGCUACAUCAUGAAAUAUACCUAUAACGAAGCAAACCAUCAUAAUCAACAUCACCAUGCAACUCUCAAACUACCACAUAGGAUUUACGGCAUCGAGACUCACCGCUUAAAUGAACUCCAGCUCACUUGGGAUCACCACUGGAUUUAUUCCGAAUCCAUGACUACGACACAACUACCAAUUUAUCAUUUACCUCGAAACUUCGACAAAAUAACCAAAAUCUCUACCCUUCAAAUCGAAGCGUUGAAUUCGCAUUCCAUAAUUUCAAGCUCUGACGAUACUACCCAAAAACUACAGUAGGAAUAAUUUAAAUAUUCUCACACACACCACAACCAAAACUUUGCUGCAUCUCACCAAAUUAUAAAUAAGGUGAGUGAACAUAUACUCCCAUUGAGGUGUCGUAGCUAGCCACCAAAUGCUAACGAAAAGAUGUUAGCAAACAACUCCGAUCGUGAAGUCGAGACUUAAAUCAACCACCCGAAAUGACACUGCUUAAAAAAAAAAAAUUACUUUGGACACCCACGCACUCUUGCUCCAUGAUCCAGUGGGUUUUAUUCCACUGCUACUACUUCCACCAACUCCACACAACUGCUAAAGAAUACCUAUGACAACACGUAAUAAAUUCACCAGGUGUUGUCAUAAAACUGGAGUGACCACAACCAUCCCGCUCUCACUCCACCAUUACUUUUCAAUUCCAUUACAUUAUCAUCUUCCCAAACACUCAACAAAUUUGGAAACCAAACUUCAACAUCUGGAAUUCCGAAAGAAACCAUAAUGGCCCCACGAUUAAAAUAAUAUAACUGACAUCUCACUCCCCGAUUCCAAACUCGCUUGAAACUCAAAACAUUUAGUGCCAUCAAUAAAAUUUUAAAAAUUCCCCGAUUGUGGCACAACAAGAAGUUGUCACAACGCACUGACGAAUGACUUUUGUAAAACCAACAAUCCAAUUCAUUCUAUUUAGAGCUUUAACAAACUUCAACUAACCCACAAUAGAGACCAAAAUCAUCAGAAAUCUUUCUUUUCAUCGACUAUUAUCAUCCAUCAUUUUCAAAAUAUAUUACCGCUGCCAUCUUAAUAAAAUGCUCUAAGGAUAGAAACAUAUCUGUAAUUAGCACUGCAGAAACCAGAAUAUAUACCACCACAACCAAAAUUAUCCCAACAUGCUCCCAAUUGAUUUAUGUUGCGGAUAAAAUUGUCGGCAAAAUGGCCUUCAAUCAAGACUCAACUAAAUCGACAUUUAGCUCUUUAUGCAGCAAUGCCUUACCACCCAAUCACUAGCACAAAUUUCCUAAAACCUUAUUUAACCCAAGACUAGGGUUCCCAACAACUCAUAUAGGUACCCCUUUGAAUUACCACUGGAUACCUCACCUCAUCAUUUCAACUAACUUUUACAGCAAUAGAAUACACCACUACUUCAAACUUUCCUUCCAACUCGACUCUUUCAGAAGUCACGUAACUCAAUACCAAAAUCUCCCAUCAAACAAUUUUUGACUCCAAUCUUGCCCACUAAAAAUGGACGACUCCACGACAUUAAUCAUCAACAUUUCACCCAACAGAUUUGCACAAGAUGCUCACCUUAGCAUCUUGAUCAUAACCCAAACAAUCAUUGAUCACAUGAAAGGAAUGCUAUCCAGCUUAUGAGUUCCCAACUGGAGUUCCCAACUCGCAAUUGAACUCUAACACUUUAAGAUAUCAACUCAAUAACCCUUGGAAAAGACGUCAACCAAACACCUAUUUCCUUAUUCAAAGCAUGAUGAUUACUUAAGAGGUCGGCAUACAGAGGCAUAGUCUUGAUGAUAUGGACAUUUAUGGCACAAUACUGUCCAUAAAAAGAUAGAAACAACUACAUCACAAACCUAAUCAACACAUGGUGUCUAAAGCAUAUAAUGCUGAUAGAUCCGCCGCGGUCAGACCAUCACUCUAUAGACACAAAGUAUGACCAAGAAUAUGAGGUAGUACUAAAAAGAGAAAGGAACUGAAUAACCUAGUGCUCUGAUACCAACUGUCAGAACCCACCCCGAAUUUCACCUUGAAACUCGAAGUAAAUCCUGCGGUGACCACCUCUAAGGAAAGUUUACCGAAAAAUUCGGCAUAACCUCCCUUGAAAAUGGACAACCCUUCCUAAUAAUACCUGCAUACACUUCAAAAGAAUCCAUUUAUAAUCCUCUACUCCUGGAGCCUUCGUGCUCCCCAAAUCACAACACCACCCAAAAUUUACUAAUCUAAACAAAUCUCCUAUCCAACCAUUUAUAGGUUCAGAGCAACUCUAACAGGAAUAAAGGAAACAAAAUAAAUUAACAAGCGGAAGCUAUAUGAUGACUAUGCCUCAUCUCCAGGUACGCUCGACCUCAACUAAGCUAACCUGCAAGUUGGGUAUUUUUAAAACGAAGGGCCCAGGGGAAAACAUUUGAAACACGUUAGAGUGAGUGGACAAAAUCAUAAAUUUAACGAAAAUAUUUAUGCUUUCCCAAUUACAUUUCCAUAGAAAAUAUGCUGCAUACGACAGCUCAAAAACGCUCAACACAAAAACUGGCAAUUUCAUGACUAGCUCCGGCCACUCUCCAAAGCUCAAUAAAAUACAGUCUCUCAGGCUAAAAUAAAAUAUGUAUGUAUUACACUCAUCAUAUCCCUUGUCUGAAUUUUCUAUUUGUCUUUGUUGUUUUAAGAAAAUUCACACAAGGCUACGACGCUUGCGUCUAACGCUCACGUCGCACCAUAAUGGCAUUUUACCUCAUUAUGGUGGAAAAGACGGUGUAUAAAUAUAUACGCGCAUAUCCCCUAUAUAAAUUAUUAUAUUUAUAUAGGGCUACGACGAUUGCGUCUAACGCUCACGUCACACCAUAAUAGAAUUUUUACCUCAGUAUGGUGGAAAAGCACGUAUAGCUAGCUAGCAUUCCUUCAUAUACAUAUUAUUCUCAUAAUCGUCCAAAUAUGGAUAUAUAUAUAUACAUACUCACCGAAAAUCUAAUUUUCAGUAACUCUUCAAAAAUAAUAAAAAUUGUCAAUUGCAAAAGAAGCAAUAAAUAUAUGGCUACACCGAAAAUCUCAUUUCCGAUAACUUUCCAAAUAGCGAAGUUAACAAAAUAAAAUAAGAGCAUUUACUUCCAAAGAUAACUUCGCGAAAAUAAACAAUUCCACAAAUUGAUAUUCAAUAAAAUCAUUCAUUUAAAAUGAAAUCACCGCAUGCUUAUAAUUUAAAACGAACGUCCACUCACAACUCUAGGCAUAAGCCCGACGAAAUCCAAAUCGCCACUCCAAUGAGGUUUCCUCGAACCCUGGCACAAAUAUAUAAUUAAAUUCCCAACUAAAAUCCAAUAUUUAAACAAAAUAGGCAAAAUUAAAUAUGAACCGCAACCACGCUUAUCCUUGCCCAAUUUCGCUUUUCCUAAAACGAAACGAUCCAACUUUAAUACCAUAAUCGGCAGCCAUAAUUACAACUUCCCCCAGAAAAUGACUUAAAUCCUACGGCCGGAUUCUACCUUAUUAAUCCGCCAAAAUUACCAAACUUCGGAAAUUCACAAACCUAUCCAAAACUCAUCCAAAAAUUCCAAAGUUCACAUCAUUAAACUCCCCUUAAUAUUUCACACUUAAAACUAUACAAAACUCCCAACCAGCGACCGCGCCAGAGGCGGCUCCGCGGGUAGCGGCGGCCGGAGGCCGAUUCCGGCAACCUCCAAUGCCCACCAAAUUUUAACAGCAUCUUCCUCUCAACUCCCUCUACAACUUUCCUAACUAGCACAAACACAAAAUCCAAGCCUAGCUAGGGCAAUCGAACACAAACACCUAAAGAGCCCUAUGAUUUCAACUUUAAAUUUCUCCUUACCUAGCUGAAGAGGGAGUGAGCCUUUUGGAAGGAUUGAUGCACGGGAGGAGAGCUUCAAAACCAUAUAAGGGUUGCCCGGAUUGGUGGCCGGAGGAGGAAGUUCCGACGACCGGAAGUUCUGGGCAGUCAAACCUUUCGGGCGGCACCGCUCUCUCACGGUGGAACUAGGGCUCCUCUCACCGGUCCAGGGAGGUUGCUGGGUUGGAGGUCGACCGAACGGGACCGUUGCGGCGACGGUUGGUGGCCGGACGACGGCGGAUGAGCGGCCAGAAGUUUCGGCUGCGGGAAAGCUCGGGGAUGAAGCCAGGAGGGAGAGAAGAAGAGAGAGGGAAAAGAAAUGGGUGUUUGGGCCUCACACCCACCCAGUCCAACACCAUAUAAAAACCCACUCCAAAAUAAAACACCCCAAAAAAAAAUAAUACCCGAAUAAAAGUUACCUUUUACUAGCUAAAAUUUACCAUUUUUACCGUCAUCAUAUUUUCUUCCUAUGAAUAAUCCUCCGCACAUAACCGUCCCCGAAACCCGUCUAGGGACCAAUUAAAACUAUAACCUCAAUGACGGAGACGGUAAAAUUCUUAUUAUAACCAAGCUAAUAAAUAAGGUAAAAAUUUACGGGUCGGGAUGUGACAGUUAUCCUGAUUUACAAAUACACAAUGACAAUAAAUAAAAGUUGCAGUAAAAUAACAAUGAACACCAAAAUGUUUUUUACUCGUAGAAACCCUGUAAACAGCAAGAAAAACUGUGUGUCCCUAACUCUUGAGGGACAAACCUUUCCACUAUGUAAAACUCACUUCUUACAAGAUUAUAGUCUAAGGAUACAUCAACGACUUGCUCUCUUGCCUAAACUACUCACUAGUCUAGAUCUAUAUUUUCUCUCUUGUGUCUGAGUAUCUCACUCCUUACAAGAUUACAGUAUAGGAAAUAGCAACGACUUGAUAUCCUACCUAGUCCCAAUCUAGUCUAGAUCUACCUCUCUUGUCUCUAAGUGGCUAUACAUGAAGGUAUAAGAAGUACUCACUACUUGCUCU
rnacentral:lncRNA from 1 species